UCGAUCUGCCCUUCUGCGUUCCAGGUUCCUAUCUUAACCUGAUUAUAGAUUAGAUUUUGUUGAAUUUGUUUCAUUUGCUGCACUUGGUUGCUAAUAAGCUGGAAGUGGACCUUUUCGUUUUCUGCAUUUCACACUUGAUGAAUCAAGAAUACUUUAGAAGCCUUGAGGCGUUGAACGGUAAAAAGAUAUUCAUUUUUUCUUUUUAUUGAUUUAGUCAAUUUAAAUGGCAGAUCAUCUGAGGGAGAAAAAAG
rnacentral:misc_RNA from 1 species